GAUAGGAGCAACCCCUUCUUCACUAUUAUCUCAAAUGCAUUGAACGAAGUUCCUAUUGACACCUGGGGGAUUAGCAUACAUUAUACGUUUUACUGGAUAAAGAGGAAUGGAUGCAAGUCGGAAACAAGACAGCAGCUGGUGUCAGAAUAGAGACUGGUGGACUGUAUAUGUGCAGGACUGCUUGAGUCAAGGCUGCAUGGGAUAUGACUGCAAAGACCACAGACAACACGGGCUGAAUGGGAUGAAUAUGAUGUGGACGACCCCCCGGUCGAGCAGGUACCUACGGAUCCAGAUGCCGCAGUCGACGCUCAGUCGAGACCUCCUGACCCGAGACUCCCCUCAAUCCACUUCAGUCCAGUGAAUCAGGUUUCUGAAGAAAAAACAAGAAACUGAAACCCGGCUCAAAGCCAUAUCUGUGGGUUCCAGUGCCAGGAGCCUGCUAUCGAACAGGAUAACUCACUUUUCCUUCCAUAACGUCAAAAUAUAAAAGACACGCCACGCAGAUAUCAAAAGAGCAGAUAAAGGAUCAACUAAGCGGGCUCAGCUUCAACCUGCCACCUGCUAAAUUGACACGUCAAACGCACCUUUGUGGAGCAGGUUGACAUGGCCACCCAUGGCAGUGAUGCAUCUGAAACAAUGUACAGGAGGGUCUCCAGGGAAAUCGUCUCUGGGUUGAUAAAGGCUCAGAGCAAUAGAAGAAGCAAGGCUGACAUCUUCUUAAGAGAUGAUAGGAGAGCCAAAUCAAAUAGGAUGGAGCAGUCACUCUUUUCACAGAUAGCUUUCAGGGCUCUCUCCGGACUUUCCUCCCAGGCCAGAACAAUGGCAGGCCCAGGAGCCCAGCUUCCCCACAGGCCCCGGCGAGAGGAGGCCGGGGGCUGGGUACUGAGGGAGCCGCUCAGCACGCUGAAAUAUGGAGGCGACAGAUAAGGUGGCAGCGGCACAGAGAGGCCCUCUCCCAUGGGCCCAAGGGGAAAUUUGCAGUUAUUAAGAGGAAGAUGAGAGAGAUUAAAUGGCUUUUGUACUCAUUUUCACAGACUUUUAUUUUUUUAUUAUUUGGGCUGCCUUCAUCUGAGAGAUGAAAGAAGUGGUAAAUUACUUUUUUUUUGUUGCUUCAUUCAGCAACACACUGGCUUUGAGAGACAAUUCUUCAUUACUGAGUGUUGUCACACCAUAAAACACUUAUUAGUACACUAUUGUUUUAAAAGGUGCAGAAGUAAUAGAAUUACUGUAAUCUACAAACGUAACAUGGUUUGGGAUUUUGUUUGAAGAAAUUAACAAAAUGUUACAUACAUGUACAUUUAUCAAUGUACAUUAAACCUUACUCUGUUUGAUUUCUAUUGAAACUCAUAGAAAGUUUGAUUCAACUAUAUGGCAAUUUCUGAGGUAAAUGGUUAUCCAAGGCGCUUUACAAUUCACAUACACAUCGAUGGCAGCGGAGGAGUCGUGCAAGGCUGUGGACUAACCUUUAGGGUUGGGUUGAUUGGGCUUCAGUGUCUUGCUCAAGGAUACUUCGACAUGUGAACGGGGAAGCUGGGGAUCAAACAGCCAACCCUGUGAUUAAUGGGGGACCUGCACUCCCUCCUUUUGAGGUCUUUGUUUGUGUGGGAAUUUAUAAUGUGUUGCACUGCAUUAUAUUGUAAUGAGUAUUAUACAUGUUUCAACUGACAAUAUAAUGCACAAUUAACUCAGCCUUUAUCACUGCAGAGUUGAAACACCACCUCAAUGACAGCAGCCACAACAAACACUGGACGUGAUAAGUUACACAAAGUAAGAUUAUAUUUAAUAAAACGUUUGAAAUGCUUUGAAACACAAAUUAGAUCUUUGGGGAAAGGUAAUUUCAUUUUA